CGAAAGCGUGGGGAGCAAACAGGAUUAGAUACCCUGGUAGUCCACGCCGUAAACGAUGUCUACUAGCCGUUGGGACUCUUGAAGUCUUAGUGGCGCAGCUAACGCACUAAGUAGACCGCCUGGGGAGUACGGCCGCAAGGUUAAAACUCAAAUGAAUUGACGGGGGCCCGCACAAGCGGUGGAGCAUGUGGUUUAAUUCGACGCAACGCGAAGAACCUUACCUGGCCUUGACAUGCAGAGAACUUUCCAGAGAUGGAUUGGUGCCUUCGGGAACUCUGACACAGGUGCUGCAUGGCCGUCGUCAGCUCGUGUCGUGAGAUGUUGGGUUAAGUCCCGUAACGAGCGCAACCCCUAUCCCUAGUUGCUAGCAGUUCGGCUGAGAACUCUAGGGAGACUGCCGGUGACAAACCGGAGGAAGGUGGGGAUGACGUCAGGUCAUCAUGGCCCUUACGGCCAGGGCUACACACGUGCUACAAUGGUGCGCACAGAGGGCUGCAAACCCGCGAGGGGGAGCCAAUCUCACAAAACGCAUCGUAGUCCGGAUCGCAGUCUGCAACUCGACUGCGUGAAGUCGGAAUCGCUAGUAAUCGUGAAUCAGAAUGUCACGGUGAAUACGUUCCCGGGCCUUGUACACACCGCCCGUCACACCAUGGGAGUUGGGUUUACCCGAAGGCAGUGCGCUAACCGUAAGGGGGCAGCUGACCACGGUAGGCUCAGCGACUGGGGUGAAGUCGGAACAAGGUAGCCGUACUGGAAGGUGCGGCUGGAUCACCUCCU
rnacentral:rRNA from 1 species